CGGCGAGUGAAGCGGGAACAGCUCAAAUUUGAAAUCUGGCCCUUGGGUCCGAGUUGUAAUUUGCAGAGGAUGCUUUUGGUGCGGUGCCUUCCGAGUUCCCUGGAACGGGACGCCUUAGAGGGUGAGAGCCCCGUACGGUUGGCCACCAAGCCUGUGUAAAGCUCCUUCGACGAGUCGAGUAGUUUGGGAAUGCUGCUCAAAAUGGGAGGUAUAUUUCUUCUAAAGCUAAAUACUGGCCAGAGACCGAUAGCGCACAAGUAGAGUGAUCGAAAGAUGAAAAGCACUUUGAAAAGAGGGUUAAAUAGCACGUGAAAUUGUUGAAAGGGAAGGAUUUAUGACCAGACUUUUUCUGGGGGGAUCAUCCGGUGUUCUCACCGGUGCACUUCCCCCAGUUGAGGCCAGCAUCGGUUUCUGCCGGGGGAUAAAAGCUUUGGGAAUGUGGCUCCUUCGGGAGUGUUAUAGCCCGUUGCAUAAUACCCUGGCGGGGACCGAGGUUCGCGCAUUGCAAGGAUGCUGGCGUAAUGGUUAUUAAUCACCCGUCUUGAAACACGGACCAAGGAGUCGAACAUUUGUGCGAGUGU
rnacentral:rRNA from 2 species